CUUGACAUACGUUGGAAGCGCAUCGAAAGGUGCGUGCCGCUUGCGGACCGGCGCACAGGUGCUGCAUGGCUGUCGUCAGCUCGUGCUGUGAGGUGUUGGGUUAAGUCCCGGCAACGAGCGCAACCCCUGCUGCCUGUUGCCACCACGAGAGGUGGGGACUCAGGCGGGACCGCCGGUGACAAACCGGAGGAAGGUGGGGACGACGUCAAGUCAUCAUGGCCCUUAUGUCCUGGGCUACACACGUGCUACAAUGGCCGGUACAGAGCGCAGCGAGGCCGCGAGGCGGAGCGAAUCGCUUAAAGCCGGUCCCAGUACGGAUUGGAGUCUGCAACCCGACUCCAUGAAGUUGGAAUCGCUAGUAAUCGUGGAUCAGCCAAGCCGCGGUGAAUACGUUCCCGGGCCUU
rnacentral:rRNA from 1 species